rnacentral:rRNA from 1 species
AGCGAACGCUGGCGGCAGGCUUAACACAUGCAAGUCGAGCGGGCAUCCUUGUGGUGUCCGCGGCAGACGGGUGAGUAACGCGUGGGAACGUGCCCUUCGGUUCGGAAUAACUCAGGGAAACUUGAGCUAAUACCGGAUACGUGUGAGAGCAGAAAGGUUUAUCUGCCGAAGGAUCGGCCCGCGUCUGAUUAGCUAGUUGGUGAGGUUAUGGCUCACCAAGGCGACGAUCAGUAGCUGGUCUGAGAGGAUGAUCAGCCACACUGGGACUGGGACACGGCCCAGACUCCUACGGGAGGCAGCAGUGGGGAAUAUUGGACAAUGGGGGCAACCCUGAUCCAGCCAUGCCGCGUGAGUGAUGACGGCCUUAGGGUUGUAAAGCUCUUUUCUCCGAGACGAUAAUGACGGUACCGGAGGAAUAAGCCCCGGCUAACUUCGUG